rnacentral:rRNA from 1 species
GAUGAACGCUGGCGGCGUGCUUAAUACAUGCAAGUCGAGCGAAGCACUUUAACGGAAUUCUUCGGAAGGAAGGUAAAGUGACUGAGCGGCGACGGGUGAGUAACGCGUGGGUAACCUGCCUUAUACAGGGGGAUAACAGUUAGAAAUGGCUGCUAAUACCGCAUAAGCGCACAGGACCGCAUGGUCUGGUGUGAAAAACUCCGGUGGUAUAAGAUGGACCCGCGUCUGAUUAGCUGGUUGGUGGGGUAACGGCCCACCAAGGCGACGAUCAGUAGCCGGCCUGAGAGGGUGAACGGCCACAUUGGGACUGAGACACGGCCCAG